GCCGCGCCGGCCGCCUCCCGCGCCCGCUCGCCGCCGCCUCCAUCGUCCGCCUUCCGUGCGCAGGGGGGGGAAAGCGACAGAGAGAGCGCGUUCCCAGCAGGAGUUUCAAGUAAACAGCAAGGCCCUCUGGACUCUGUGGAUCUUCCAACCAAUAUUAUGGCCAAUUUUCCACUCCUCUCAUCCAUCUUCCUAACACUGAGGACAGAACACCUGUGCAAGGAUUUAUUUCUUUAUCUGUCUUACCCAUUACUGAAGUACGUAAGGUUGGAACACCCCUAAGCAGCAAUGCACACUAUGCAUUUCCCAAUGACAGAACUUUUGUCCAAUAUCUCUUCACCUGCUUUUUUUAAAAAAGAGACCAGACACACAGCUACUCCAGCAAACCCCACAUCCAGAGAGACUCCCAUAUUGCUGGUUUAAAUGGAUAAAAAAGUAAUACAACAACUAAGAGAUAACCUAUAAGGCACCUAUAAACUUAAUGGAGCAUGGAAAAUCCAGUCUGCAGACAGAUUUUCCUGCUGCCAAACAACCAAGCAAAGCAAAGGCAAAGAGAAUCUUCUUUGGACGACAUGCAACAAAGCCAACUUUACACAGGCUGACUGCUUCAAAAUCACAUCAAAUAACAAAGAAGUUGCCUCAUCUAUGAGCUAUGGAGGGCAGGAACAUUUUGUUUUCAUAGCAUAAUUUGGUAAAACUGACUCAACACAAUCAGAUAAGGCUGAUCACUUCUGCCUCUAUGUCUUUUCAUGCUGGUGCCAGGUCAUGCCCUUGAGAGGUAUGGGAAAAUGAUUCCAAGGGUUGUUUGUGUUCUAAAGAGAAGACUGCUCCCUUCAAUGAAUCCAUGGAGUUUCCCUGUGCACACGAAUAUUUCCAUGCAAAUGGUGUAAAAUACAUGAGCAGAGUUGGGAAGAGGGCUCAGAAGUACAAGCGUAGAGAAGCUUCCACUGCUGUGCAGGGAAAGUGCUCCAAUAGGUGACAAAGCUGGACAAAAGCCUCAAAAUAACAAGAUCCUCAUUUCCAAAGACUGAUCGUUUUGCUGGGCAGGUGUCUUUUUGCUUGGAUGUUAUAAUCAAUCUCUGGUGUAUAUUACCCAUGCAAAAGAAGAAUUACAAGAACAUGAAGAAGACAGAAAGGUCAAGCCCAAAAACUGGAAAAAAAUGGCUGGUAUUCUUUAUGUAGUUUCUUCAAAAAAACCACUUCUAAUUUUUUGGGGGUUUCUUGGUUUUUGGUUUUUUUGCUAUGUCUUGCUGCUCUGCCCAAACACCUCUGCCUUGUUCAGCCUAUGUUAAAACUUCACUCUGAGACUGGGUCCAAGGUAAGACAAAAGGUGCUUGUCUGUUGGGACCCUGCUGUACCGAUUGCAAACGCUGGAAGCACCUGCCUCUGAGGUGUGACACUGAGAGAAUGAGAACUAGAUUGGACACACCAAAAGUGAUAGUUACACCUCCAUCCAGGCUCAUUAUAUCCUACAAGCAGAUCUGGUUGUAACAGCCAAGAGGUACAGCUGUAAAGAAAACCCUUUGCAGCUCAGGCUGAAGCAUGCUCAGAGCUCACAGAGCCUUCAACUAUUAACCUCAAAGCUCUAGAAACUCUUUAGAGAGCUUGUACAAACUGCAUUUUUUGGCCUCUAACUUGGGUCAGAUUUGGGCAAAUAUUUAUGAAGAUGGCAAAAAACCAAAGACUCUUCCCCAAAGGGAUUUCAGAUCCUACUUCAGAAAUAUAAGGGCGUAAGAGCUUCUCAGAGAACUGCUGCCAGAAUUUUUUUUAACAUAGCAAAACAUAUUUACCCCUAACUUCACUCCUAGCUGCGUCUGAACCAUGUUGGCUGCAUUUUUUCAUUAGAAAAUUAAAUAGGCUGAAGCAGACACCUUUCAGAAUGAACAGAUAAGAUGCAACAACUCUUAGAAGCAACGGAAAAUGAAGUCUUAUGAUGUGACACAUUUGCCAAUGCUAGCAAUAGACAAAGAUGAGCCCUGGCUAUAAAAUAUAAACAUAUUUAUAUUGCAAACAUGAUAGAAAGUUAAAAAAACUAACAAAAUGCAACAUUCUAUUAACAGCUCUUUCUAUAAGAUACUCUUUCAGACUGCAUCCAUCAGGACUAAAGACCUGCUUACACUUCACUAUGCUUUUUCCCUGGAAUCCGUUAUUGUGGAAAUUGCAAAAUUAGAUUUAAAGUCACCAAAGUACAAACAGAUAUACGAAAAUGACUAUUCUUUGCAGGCUAUUCCUCCUCAUUUGACAAGAAAAUGGAAAGGAACAGAUCACAAUUAACGUGGAGAUGGACAACAAUAUCUCUGAUCUCUGUGGAUAAUCCAUCUCAGAAUAUGUUACUGUAUUUCACAGCAUUGCAAGAGAAACCAAAACCUGCAUUAAGAUGUUUGAUUUUCUUUCAACUACAAGAGGACAAAAGCAUUUCGUAGUUACCAGCACAGCUUAAUCCAACUAUAUAAAGAGGAGACUGGUAUUUUUUUUCUGCAGUGGUUACCCUCUCUUUAUUACAGAAAAAUGUAAAUAAAAAAAUAGUUACUACUCUACCUCUAUUUAAAAUAUCACAACACAAAAUGUUUUCAGUGAGCUGCCUGUUUUGUAGUUGCAUGAUCACCACUUUUUCCAAAUUUCAAGGGAAAAAUUACCUUACAGGACUGCAGGACCAUCAAGAGCAGCUUUUCUUAAGAAUAAUAAAAAAAAAAUCUUACAGAAGACUGUGUUAUUUUAUUCCACUAUAAAAUACAGCUCAUAGGACAGACAUAUUUUAUUAUUUUUUCUCAUGUCAUCUUUUGUCCAGUUCGUUUUUGUACUCUAAUAUUUUUGUUUUUCUCUUCAGUUGUUAAAUCCACUUUCAUAAACAUGGGCUAAUUCACAGUAUACCGGUAGAAACAAAAAUCAACUAAUGCCUCACACAGUGAUUUCUCAAUAACUUCUGACCGGGCUGUAAAACCAUAAAACACUCUAAAUUUUUUGACCACCACCUCCUUCAGCAAAAGGCACCCAGGGAUUGUACUGAAACUUCCUAGUGGUCUCACACUGAGCUAUCACUCUCAGAGAUGCACAACGAAAAGCCGACAUUCGGCUCAACACAACCUUCCCUGCAUUUAUCAACUUUGCAAAUUGCGGUGAAAUGAGCACAAGCCACAACAUGGAAAAAAAAAAUCAAAAUCCUUUGUUGCUGAAGCCAAUUUUGAAUAUUGCAUCUGAUAAUGCACAGAACAAGCCCUUUUAGAAAAACUGUUGGUGCUGUCAUCUGCAUACUGAGUAUCCGCAGCAAAGGCAACGUUAAUAACAAGUUAUCCUUGUAGAGGGGUCAAAAGGACACUGCUGGUAAGACAGAGAUGACAGACAACAGGCAUCAGGGAAAAGAUUAAUAUCCCUACACAGUCAUACAUCAAGGAACUCAAUUUUUGCCUGUAAUCCCAAAACUGCUGAGAGUAGGAUUAUUUCUGCUUUCCCUAUUACUAAGAAGAAAGAAACCGCUCAUGGGAAUAGGGCACUGCUAAAUACGGGUCCUUAUGUGAGCAGAAAGGCUGCAGUUAGGUCCUAGGGCAAAAAAAUAAAGCUCAGUUGUGUGAUGUUCCCAAGCAAGGGUCCCAUGGCAAGUGAGGUUAGGGAUUCAUUUUGCAGGCACUUAAAAACGUGAAAAAAGUUUGUGUAGUUACAGAAAGACAAAGGAAGUGAGAAAAGAGGAACCUCAUGCAGCUUUUCACAGAAUCAUAGAAUCAUUUAUGUUGGAAAAGACCUUUGAGUACAACCACUGGAAAGUUUACAGUUAAAAAGGAAAAAACCUUUAAUGUUCUUUG